CAGUCGCCGCGGGAAUACAGAGGGUGCGAGCGUUAAUCGUAUUUACUGGGCGUAAAGCGUGCGUAGGCGGCUUCUUAAGUCGGAUGUGAAAUCCCUGAGCUUAACUUAGGAAUUGCAUUCGAUACUGGGAAGCUAGAGUAUGGGAGAGGAUGGUAGAAUUCCAGGUGUAGCGGUGAAAUGCGUAGAGAUCUGGAGGAAUACCGAUGGCGAAGGCAGCCAUCUGGCCUAAUACUGACGCUGAGGUACGAAAGCAUGGGGAGCAAACAGGAUUAGAUACCCGCGUAGUCCCUGUCUCUUAUAC
rnacentral:rRNA from 1 species